AACCGAAAGGAGGGGGAUGCCUAAGGUAGGACUGGUGACUGGGGUGAAGUCGUAACAAGGUAGCCGUACCGGAAGGUGUGGCUGGAUCACCUCCUUUUAGGGAG
rnacentral:rRNA from 1 species